rnacentral:rRNA from 1 species
GACGAACGCUGGCGGCGUGCUUAACACAUGCAAGUCGAACGGAAAGGCCCUGCUUUUGUGGGGUGCUCGAGUGGCGAACGGGUGAGUAACACGGGAUUAACCGUCCCUUGACUGUGGGAUAACGUCAGGAAACUGGGGCUAAUACCGGAUAGGAGCUCCUGCUGCAUGGUGUGGGUUGGAAAUUUUCGGAGGGUGGGGAUGGACUCGCGGCUUAUUAGCUUGUUGGUGGGGUAGUGGAUUACCAAGGUUUUGGCGGGUAGCCGGACUGAGAGGGUGACCGGCCCCAUUGGGCUUGGGAUGCGGCCCAGAGUCCUACGGGAGGCAGCAGUGGGAAAUUGUGCGCGAUGGGCGGAAGCAUGAUGCAGCAACGCCGCGUGGGGGAUGACGGCCUUCGGGUUGUAAACCGCUUUCGCCUGUAACGAAGCGUGAGUGACGGUAAUGUGUAAGGAAGCACCGGCUAACUACGUG